UACGAAGGGUGCAAGCGUUACUCGGAAUUACUGGGCGUAAAGCGUGCGUAGGUGGUUCGUUAAGUCUGAUGUGAAAGCCCUGGGCUCAACCUGGGGAAUGGCAUUGGAAACUGGCGACCUAGAGUGCGGUAGAGGGUAGUGGAAUUCCCGGUGUAGCAGUGAAAUGCGUAGAGAUCGGGAGGAACAUCUGUGGCGAAGGCGACUGCCUGGACCAGCACUGACACUGAGGCACGAAAGCGUGGGGAGCAAACAGG
rnacentral:rRNA from 1 species